GGCUGAAAUGAAGAAGGUAAAGAAGGAGCUGGAACAACUGGCCCUGAGGGAGCCUGAAUUCUAUUUAUGGCAUUAACUAAAACGAUGUUUGUAUGUCAGACCAGACAGGGCUGGAAGUAUGCUCCAGUCCCUUAGCUUGUAAGCUGCCAUGGAAAAGAGGUUUGUAUUCUGGGCAUGUAAAAAAAUCCACAUCCAUUACAGAAACUUCAUAGACUGUGAUGCUGACAAGAAAUGGAGCCUUUACUAUUCUUACUGAACAACCCUCUGAAAAUGCAGUAGACAGGACCUUAAAGAUGAUCAGCUGCAUGUUGCAAGCUCAGAAAGCAGAGCAUUUUCCUCUGCUCCCUCCUCUGAUCGAAGUGCUUGUUGUGAUGUUAUCUGCUCUUAAAGGGAAACACAGAAUCCUGAACCCAGGAGCAGCAGGGCACGUUUAAUGGGUAGAAGAUGGGAAAUGUAAAGCUGAGACUGAUGUUACACCUUGGCUUAUGGCACUGCAGCAAGAAAGGGAACUGUAGUGUGACCUAAGCAGGGUGAGUUAUUAACCAUACAUUUUCUCGUUGGUAUCCCUUUGGCGUCCCUUUAUUGCUUGGAAUGAUCAAUUACUUUGUCCCAGACACAAACCUCCUGCACUUUCCACAAUAACUGAUUAGCAGGGAAACUGGUCAGGGGCUGGUAAAAUGUGCUUGUCUCAACAAGCCAAAUGGAAACACAUUUGCAGGGGCCACUUGCCAUCCUCUGAGGAUUGCAGGAUCAGGAUUCCUCUGUUGCCUGCCCUCUUAGCCUUCAAGUCAGGGUCAGGCCAAAGGCUAAGUUCCAUUGCCUGUUUCCCCUUUAACUCCCAUUGCAGAUCCCCCUGCAGACCCUGGCGAUCUAAGGGGGAUUGGGUCGGUGGGAAUCAGGGGCUUCCCAAUCCAGGACACGUCUCUAACUACUGUGCCCAAGGUCUGAGCACUUCUGCCAUUGGGCACCUUCCGAUUCAGUAAAGAUGGGUCAGCUGAUGUGGGCUAUGUGGGGAAGAGGAACUGGUUAUGGUUGUACCCGGAGUCACAGGAUGAAAUUAAGCAAUAGUUAACUGAGCUGUAUUUCAGGAAAACUUCCCACAGGGGAGAUCUAUAAGAUAGGAAUAUAGUUUCCCAGGGAAGUGGUAAAAGCCUCACACCUAUCUACCAUACGGAAUAAUCCUUCAUUGACAGGGACCUAACUGACAUGGGCGACCUACCUGUUUUGUUUCCUCAGGCUUCUGAUUCUAGUAAUAAAUCCCAAAUUUUGCACUUCUCCCUUUGCUGGAUUGAUCAGUGUCCGCACUGUCUACUGCCAGAGUAACAUAUGGAAAAUGAUACACAAGCACCACCUAGAGGCAACAAAGAGGAUUAAAAAGAGAUGAUUACUUAUUCCCAUUCAGCAAUGAACAAAUCAAGUCAGUUACAUCUCAGAGGGGAGGGGGUUUUCAGUGACCAUCAGCAUGCAUAGAGCUGUCAUAGGAACGGAUUCCAGUGGGAGUUGCUGACUCUACCCUGGAGAAGAAGAGACUGGCAGCUCAACCAUUGUGUCCUCCAUUUAAAUGGAAAUUAAUAGGUGUUCGGUCCCAUUGUCAGAAACCCAGACACCUGGCAACCCUAAAAUGAUAAGGGGCAGUCCCUAGGCACUCUCUGGAGGCAGUGAUUACACGGGAGCUGUUUUCACAAUCUUGUGGGGCUCUGAGGGCUCAUGGCCUCAUGCCAGCCCUGUACAUUCAGUGGUUGCUAGUGAGCUAAUUCUUUACUCUUUGGGGAUGUGUUUUGCUGGUUUUCACAUGUGACCAGAUUAAUCCCUGGGGUGACCCCGGUGACUCUCCCCCACAAAUACCUACUAGAUAAGAGUGCUACAAAGUCAAAAGAAACUGAAGAUGGAUUGCAAGACUCAUCAUUAAACCCUGAGGGGGAAAUUUUCAGAAGCCCCAAAGACAUUUAGGAGCACAAAACACAUUGACUUUCAAUUGGACUCAGGCCCUAAAUACCUUCUGUGCAUUCAAAAGUCCCCCCGCCCCCAUCCCCAGCCUUGUGGGAAAACUAGUCUUACAAAAUACUUAAUCGCUGGUCUCCAGAUAUCAUCACAUGGAAAAAUGACAUAUAGAUUGAGAGCAAUAUCGCUUCUCAGCUCUCUGAGCUCUGGUCAAGUGUAGUAUAUCAAUUUAAUAAUGGAUAUAUCUAGAGCUGGUCAAAUCAUUUUCACUAAAAAUGGCUUUUAAGAUGUGGGGGGAAAUGCAAUGAUUUUUGCGUAAUCAUUUUAUAUCAUUCAAAAUUGUCCAGUUUCUCAUCAAAGUAAAAAAAAAUUGCUUUGAAUCAGUUUUGCAGGGAUUUUUUUCUUUUUUGUCCCUCCUCUUUUUCGGGGGAGGGGGGGAGGGAGAGAAAGGAGGGAAUAAACUAUACCAGGAAACAAAAAUAAUGGUUUCAGCCAACAUUUUAAAAACUCUAUGAGCCAUUUAGAAUGAAAUUAAAAUUGUUUAAUUUUCUUUUUAAUUUUUUUAAAUUAAUUGCCAUUUUUCAACCAGUUCUAGAUACAUCCUUUACAUGGGAGAUUUAAUUGCAGCAAAAUUACCAGUGUGUAACACUGCUCUCUACUGGAGGAAAUCAGACCAGCUUAGCAGUGGUGUUGGCCCUAUAGUGAAAAGAAAUUCUUUUAUUUUGACCAGUAGGGACCAGGAAAACAUGAGAUCUAUCUCACUAUUACUGCAGAGUUCUGAGUGGCCCAUACUAAGCAGCACAGGAAGAACCACGAAGUUCCUAAAUAGUCCCGGGUAUGGCUCUGAAAGUUUUUUCCAUUGCAAUCUAUGAUGAUCCAAUAUAUUUUCCAUACCGAGGUAUGAGGGAGUAUACCUGAAGAUGCCAUUGAACCACUGAGAUUUUAUUCCAUGGAAAUCCAAAAAAAUGGUGUCCAUUUCUUAGACCUGGCCGGGGAGGAAGAUGGCUCACUUGGAACAGUAGCACUCAUCUCCUGGUUGCAAUUAUGUGACAGGCUGAAGUUCCACACCACAUCUUGGCUCAUACCCAAUACUGACAGUACAAUGGCAUUACAAUGCAGUAGUGAAGUGUGAAGAAGGGCUGCACUUUUAAAGAUGACAUACCUAAUGCUGCCAACUCUUGCAAUUUUGUUACUAGUCUUGCAGUUUUGGCCAAUAUCUACAUCCGCGCAUAUGUGUUUGAGAGACUGAGGGGCUGACUGCCUUGUAGUGAUCAAAACACUUUCUCCCCCCCAGUAAAACUGAUCCUAACAUCGAAAGGUGUUUGUAAACUGAGUACAAAAUGGCUGCCAUGUGCCCCAAUACUGCUGUCUAAAGGGCUUUAGGGGGCGGUAGAAGAUGGUUGAACAGGCUGUAUGUAGAAUUCUAUGUGCCACAGCUGCCGAAUGGAAUCAGAAAGGUCUACAUAAAACUCAGUUCCAUUUCAUCGUUGCCUUUUUGCUGAAAAUCACACAGUGCUGAUUUGUGGCAGCUAUACACAGCUUUACCACUAAGUGGAGCCACACAAAUAUUUUUAAAAGCAGUCAUAACAAUUACAUCCUACGUUGCAGAUGAGCCACGUUACAGCGUAGUUAAAUUCUAGGCUUAGCAGAUGAACUUCUUGCACCAGUGAUGGAUUAUUUAAAUAGGCCUAGUCUUUCACAAGCUAGUUGUUCAAAUAGUUCAGUGCUGCCUAGUGAACAAGUUUGUGGACCUAAACCUGCCUUUAAUACUGUGCCAUGUACCUGUGAUGUCUCACUGGACCGAGUGUGUACUUAUGCAGCUGUCAACAUGGAAUUGAAUAUUGUCAUUUAAGAACACGGCAGCAUAUGGCUGGCCCUAUGUUUUGUGAGACCUUAUGCAAAUUAACAUUAGCAGAUCCUCUUCCAGUACCCCCAUCAUGUCUGUCUCGUUUCUCCCACACCUCAGCAUCCUGUUUAAAAUAUAGUGACUCUCCUAAUUGUGAGGCUCUGUGGCUUCUAGUCACCUCCUGGGAAACCAGGAGAGAAAGCUGAACCUUUUGAAGCUAAGUCGGGAAGGAGAGUUAAGAAAUGCAGUAAGUGGCCUAACAGAGUCAGCUGAGAUCACAGAAAAGAAAUCAGGAGGCUGACCAGCUGGGUACAAGCUCAGGACCCUGAGAGAGAAGGUCUCUUGUGUGGCCACAUAGGUCAUAAAGACCUACAGUUGCUUCUGCUGCAGUGGCAUGUCACUUCAAGGAAUCUGAAUUUGCUGUUUGAUAGAAUAUGUUCAGAUGCAAAGAUUUGUUCCUUCAUCGGGUCAAUUUUUCUACAGCAUUUAACUGUGCUUGCCACAAAACAACAGCAAACGCCACUGGAGAACCCAGCAGUGAGCCUCUUUAGGAUUUUGGCUCCGGUGCUGUCCUCAUAUUUGACUGAAUACACACACAUACUUUGAGUCAAAGGCAAGCUAGCCACAUUCUGGUGUCUGACUUAUAACAAAGGUUCUGAAGGCUUCCUCUGAUAUAAAGUGUUUAAUGAAUGCAUAAUGUAUGCCACAUUUUCCCAUUUGGUAGUAGUUAUGGCUUACAUUGUCUUAAGUGAAGGAUAAAUGUAUAUGGAGUACACUUCUUAGUAUAGUAGAGACAUUUGAAUUCUAGAAGAUACAAAGCAUCACCAGAUGCACAGAGUGAUGCCCUAGGGCCACAAUAUUAAAAAUAAACUUUUUCUCAUAUUUUUCAAGAAAACCACCCUGCAAUAUUUCAUUAGUAGUAUAAAUGAGGUAUUUUAUGAUCCUUUGCAUCAUUACUGCUUGAAAAUAUUUUUUAUCUGAUCAGAUAGUUCUGAAUAGGUUCUUAGUAGAUACAUGUCUUGGGAUGCUAAGUUUUAAAGAAAGUCCAUCUCUUCAAAUAUAAGCCAGAUGAUCACUGAACACAGAACAUGGAUGCAACACAGAAUGUUAAAGUGCGUUCAGUGCACAAAAUAUUAAUACUCUUCACUGGAAAGUGAACUGUGAUUGGCUUCAAAUAAUCCCUGACUCAGACAGAAAAAUAUGUAACAAAUGGUUUUAAUUUCCCCUCAGGACAAAACAAUAUUACAUUGGCAGCGACUGGCAUAUUAGCAUGCAGCUCAAAUGAAGAAACUGCCUAAAUAUGUGUCAACUACUUAUGCUAAACAAUCUGUUCCAUCUUGUAUUUAGCUGUGACACUGAGUAAGUUUCCCAGACCUGAAGAAGAGUUCUGUGUAGCUCAAAAGCUUGUCUUUGUCACCAACAGAAGUUGGUCCAAUAGAAGAUAUUACCUCACCCACCUUCUCUCGCUAGUACAGGUACAGUCAUAGCAUGUGUUUGGCAGGGAAUUAGCAGCAUGCAGGUUAGAAGCACAAAGGAGAAUGGAUAGAUUAAUAAAAACAAUCGGAGUGGUAGAUCUUGUUCAGCCACCAAGAGCAACUCCAGCCAUGUGAGUAAUUUAUGGCUGUAGCCAUACUAGAAAAGGCCAAAGAGGAGAAAAAGGGUGAGCGGGGACAGCAGGAAAUUGCAGAGGGUAUAAGGUAACUGAGCUCAGAUUUGGACCCUCAUUUUUGUAUUUAUUCUAGCUUUGAAUUACUUAUUAUUUCACUUUCAGAAGGAGACACUAUAUAGCAGCAUUUUUCAAACUUCGGGUUGCGACCCAGUACUGGUCAGGCACUGGGUCGCUCUGGUCAGCACCACCGACUGGGACGUUAAAAGUCCCGUCGGCGGUGCUGCCCAGCUAAGCCAGGUUAGUGCCUACCUGUUUCGACAUCGCGCUGCGCCCCGGAAGCAGCCAGCAGCAGGUCUGGCUUCUAGGCAGAGGGGUCUGAGCACCGGCUCCAC